rnacentral:rRNA from 1 species
UGAGUAACCUGCCCUUCACUCUGGGAUAACUCCGGGAAACCGGGGCUAAUACUGGAUAUGACUCGAACAGGUAUCUGUUUCGGGUGGAAAGAUUUAUUGGUGGAGGAUGGACUCGCGGCCUAUCAGCUUGUUGGUGAGGUAAUGGCUCACCAAGGCGACGACGGGUAGCCGGCCUGAGAGGGCGACGCGACACUGGCGUGAGACGACCGGACCCCGGACCGAACGUACCCGUACCCGGGUAACGGGGACGACG